rnacentral:lncRNA from 1 species
AUCCUCAGUGGGUGUCUCUAUGUUCUUGGGGGUGGGUGGAGGUGAAGGAUGGUUUCUGUACCAGCCAGGGAGAGAGAGUGAUUUAAAAAUCUCAUCCAGUUUGUUUCCGGAAUGUGCAAAUUGAAUUUGUCACCAGAUCCAUGGAGUAAAUCCUGAGUGGAAAACUGGAGCCCAGGAACGAGGUCAGAAGCUUGAUUAGGAUUGAAGUGGAGCCAGAGGUACCUUGCUUUAACCUUGCUGGUCAAGAUGACAGAUCAUUUACAUUAACAGAUUCUGCGGGCACUCUCCCGGUCGGAGCUGGAAGUGCUUUAGCCCCAGGUGACCUGGGCAACCAAGAGUGACGAUCCAGGAGAAAGAAGCUCCAACGGCCAAGACCCCAUCUGGAAGGAGCGGGGUUUCAAGCAAACACCUUAAAGCCACCUGGGUCCCUGUUGUGGCACUGAGAGAGACCGAGCCACCCUGAAUCUUGAAAACAUGUCUCCACAUUUUCCCAGUGGCUUUAAUGUUUUGUUUGUUCAUUUCUUCAUUUAGGCAUCAAAUGUUGGUGUCUCCUUAUUGUGUGCUGAGCAUUGUGGCAGGUGCCGAGGAUGCUACGGAAGGACAGCUUGGCUCUGCUCUCAAGACACACUGAGUGGAAGAGAGGACAUGGACACAGACUCCCUUAACCAUGACAUGAUGUGAAAGCCACAAUAGGAUGGGUGUCCGAGCAAAGCCCUGCAGGAGUGGAGGAGACCCUUAGCGAGAAACGGGGUUGGGGGGUAGGUUUCCAAGGAGCUGGGGGUAGAAAGAUGAACAGUAUUUGUCUCAGGGUCUUGGUGGGAGGAGUGGCAUUUCUGAUGGAGGGCAGAGCGUAAGCAGAGUUUAGAAGAGUGACUGGUGGGAGCUCCCAUUGUGGCUCAUUGGGUUAAGAAUCUGACAUAGUGUCUGCGAGGAUGUAGGUUUGAUCCCUGGCCUCACUCUGUGGAUUAAGGUUCUGGAGUUACUGCAAGCUGCAGUGUAGUUCACAGAUGUGGCUUGGAUCUGGUGUUGCCAUGGCUGUGGUGUGGGCUGGCAGCUGCAGCUCUGAAUCGACCCCUGGCCCAGGAACUUCCUUAUGCUGCAGGUAUGGCCGUAAAAAAAAAAAAAAAAAUAGAAAAAAGAAGAGUUACUGGUGGACAGGAGAGCCAAGCUGAUGCUACCAUAGUCUGUGAUCUGCUGUUAUGUAAGGUCACAGGUAGGCAAGGGUGAUGAAAGAGCCAGUAAAUCUCUAGCUCCCCAGUCACCCAGAUCUUGUUCUUCAAGUCCAAGAGUCCAAGGUUCAGAAUAAGAAGCGCUGCUGGGUUCUGCCCAUCUGACAAGCACUGGCUGCAGAAGGUCUUGUGAAUAUCAUGUGACCUCCGGAAGGAGACCUCGGGGAUUGGUGGCCAGUCGUGGCAGUGUCCCUUUGGACAAGAAGGAGUUUGUUUUGAUGCAGUUGGGAGAGGCUGAAAGCUCCCCCCACUUGAGGCCAGAGCAUUCCUGCUGACUGGAACAAAGCACUCUGUUGAUGCAUCAUCGAGGUACCCCCAGGGAGAGAGCGAGGUUCCAAUGGAUGUUUAUUGAACACUCUCCCUGGGUCACCACUGUCCAAAGUGCUCCAUCACAUCCUUACAACAAACCAAAAGACUAGGUUAUCAUUUUGCCAAGGAAGAAACUGGCCCAGACAGGUGGGAUGACUUGUCCAAGCUCGCAUAACUAGUAAGUAGCAGAGCAUCAUUCUGACCAACCCAGAUCCUGUGCUCUUAACCAGCUUCCUACAUCCACCCAAGAGAGCAAGACCACCAGGACAUUCUAUGCUAGAUGCUUCCUUAUGUGUGUCAUCUCAGGAUGUUAUCAGCAUGACAAUUCUGUGAGAUGGGCAUCAUUUGACUGAUUGGGAAACUGAGGCUCAGAAAGAUAAGUAACUUAUUAUCAACUAGCCCAGUAACUGAUGGAGCAUUUAAUCUUAGAUGUGCCAGGACAUCAAAGCUGAGAUCAUUUCCCCUCUUCCAUGCUGAAUUUUCAAGAAAGAAUCCCAGUAGAUGCUGCUUCUUUUCUGGCCAUUCAAGGAGGUAGGCAUUUCAAUGAACAACCACUUCCCUUGUGAAUGACCAUCUAGCAAACCCCUCUUUUUACUCCCUAUCUUUACUGCUAGGAUGGUGUAUAUUCUGGACACUGAUGAUAUUUGUCCCCCAAACUUUUUCCUAGCAGAGUGGAGACAAACUCCAUGCAGUUACUGUGGGUGGGGAGUGAGUCAUGUAUAUAGGGGGACCUUAUUUUAGUGGAACUCAAGAGCCAAAGUUGAACUAGAGUUCACCUAUAGAGAAGGAAUAUUCAUAAACAACUGUUAAGUAGGCAACUCUUAUAGCGUGUUUAGGGGAAGAUUAGCAAAUAUUUUUAGCAAAUGGCCAGAUAGUAUUUCAGUCUUUGCAGGACAUAUGCAUGUCUCAUAAAUAAUGUUACCUGUCUCUGCCAUAACUAUUCCAUUCUUCAUGGGAGUGCAGAAACAGCAAUGGAUACUACAUAACUGAAUUAGCAUGGCGAUGUUCCAGUAAACUCUUUUAUGGAC